rnacentral:rRNA from 1 species
GACUGCGGAGGGAUCAUUACCGAGUUAGGGUCUCACCGGCCCGAUCUCCCAACCCUUUGUCUACUUGACCAUCGUUGCUUCGGCGAGCCCGUCCUCACGGACCGCCGGGGGGUCUUUGUACCCCUUGGCCCGCGCUCGUCGACAGCCCCCAAAAAAUCUUUAACUAAACGUGCCUUAAAUCUAAGUAUUAUUGUUAAAUAAAAACAAAACUUUCAACAACGGAUCUCUUGGUUCUGGCAUCGAUGAAGAACGCAGCGAAAUGCGAUAAGUAAUGCGAAUUGCAGAAUUCCAGUGAGUCAUCGAAUCUUUGAACGCACAUUGCGCCCUUUGGUAUUCCGAAGGGCAUGCCUGUUCGAGCGUCAUUAUCACCCCUCAAGCCCUCGGCUUGGUGUUGGACGGUUUGGUGGAGACCCCCCUCGCGGGCUUCUACCCCUCCCAAAGACAAUGACGGCGGCCUCGUUGGACCCCCGGUACACUGAGUUCUUCACGGGACACGUAUCGGACACACGGGUUGACGGGACACGGUCUGCCUCCCCUCGGGGAGAAUCUUUUUUAUCAAGGUUGACCUCGGAUCAGGUACGG